rnacentral:snoRNA from 1 species
AAGCUGUGAUGUGGGCACUUUCUUAAUAAAUCCUUAAAUCUCUCCCAAGCUUCAUACAAACUUUCUUGAUCAUGAUGGACAAAGGUCAUUAUCUCCUUGCAUAGUUU